CCCUUAGAUGUUCUGGGCCGCACGCGCGCUACACUGAUGCAUUCAACAAGUUCACCUUGGCCGAGAGGCUUGGGCAAUCUUUUGAACAUGCAUCGUGAUAGGGAUAGAUUAUUGCAAUUAUUAAUCUUGAACGAGGAAUUCCCAGUAAACGUAGAUCAUCAAUCUGCAUUGAUUACGUCCCUGCCCUUUGUACACACCGCCCGUCGCACCUACCGAUUGAAUGGUCCGGUGAAGCCUCGAGAUUGUGGCCAGCUCGCUUUAUUGGGAGUUGGUUGCGAGAACUUGUCUAAACCUUAUCAUUUAGAGGAAGGUGAAGUCGUAACA
rnacentral:rRNA from 1 species